GAUGAACGCUGGCGGCGUGCCUAAUACAUGCAAGUCGAGCGAACGGACGAGAAGCUUGCUUUUCUGAUGUUAGCGGCGGACGGGUGAGUAACACGUGGAUAACCUACCUAUAAGACUGGGAUAACUUCGGGAAACCGGAGCUAAUACCGGAUAAUAUUUUGAACCGCAUGGUUCAAAAGUGAAAGACGGUCUUGCUGUCACUUAUAGAUGGAUCCGCGCUGCAUUAGCUAGUUGGUAAGGUAACGGCUUACCAAGGCAACGAUGCAUAGCCGACCUGAGAGGGUGAUCGGCCACACUGGAACUGAGACACGGUCCAGACUCCUACGGGAGGCAGCAGUAGGGAAUCUUCCGCAAUGGGCGAAAGCCUGACGGAGCAACGCCGCGUGAGUGAUGAAGGUCUUCGGAUCGUAAAACUCUGUUAUUAGGGAAGAACAUAUGUGUAAGUAACUGUGCACAUCUUGACGGUACCUAAUCAGAAAGCCACGGCUAACUACGUGCCAGCAGCCGCGGUAAUACGUAGGUGGCAAGCGUUAUCCGGAAUUAUUGGGCGUAAAGCGCGCGUAGGCGGUUUUUUAAGUCUGAUGUGAAAGCCCACGGCUCAACCGUGGAGGGUCAUUGGAAACUGGAAAACUUGAGUGCAGAAGAGGAAAGUGGAAUUCCAUGUGUAGCGGUGAAAUGCGCAGAGAUGUGGAGGAACACCAGUGGCGAAGGCGACUUUCUGGUCUGUAACUGACGCUGAUGUGCGAAAGCGUGGGGAUCAAACAGGAUUAGAUACCCUGGUAGUCCACGCCGUAAACGAUGAGUGCUAAGUGUUAGGGGGUUUCCGCCCCUUAGUGCUGCAGCUAACGCAUUAAGCACUCCGCCUGGGGAGUACGACCGCAAGGUUGAAACUCAAAGGAAUUGACGGGGGCCCGCACAAGCGGUGGAGCAUGUGGUUUAAUUCGAAGCAACGCGAAGAACCUUACCAAAUCUUGACAUCCUUUGACAACUCUAGAGAUAGAGCCUUCCCCUUCGGGGGACAAAGUGACAGGUGGUGCAUGGUUGUCGUCAGCUCGUGUCGUGAGAUGUUGGGUUAAGUCCCGCAACGAGCGCAACCCUUAAGCUUAGUUGCCAUCAUUAAGUUGGGCACUCUAAGUUGACUGCCGGUGACAAACCGGAGGAAGGUGGGGAUGACGUCAAAUCAUCAUGCCCCUUAUGAUUUGGGCUACACACGUGCUACAAUGGACAAUACAAAGGGCAGCGAGACCGCGAGGUCAAGCAAAUCCCAUAAAGUUGUUCUCAGUUCGGAUUGUAGUCUGCAACUCGACUACAUGAAGCUGGAAUCGCUAGUAAUCGUAGAUCAGCAUGCUACGGUGAAUACGUUCCCGGGUCU
rnacentral:rRNA from 1 species